rnacentral:rRNA from 1 species
UGGGGAAUAUUGCACAAUGGGCGGAAGCCUGAUGCAGCGACGCCGCGUGAGGGAUGACGGCCUUCGGGUUGUAAACCUCUUUCAGUAGGGACGAAGCGUAAGUGACGGUACCUGCAGAAGAAGCACCGGCUAACUACGUGCCAGCAGCCGCGGUAAUACGUAGGGUGCGAGCGUUGUCCGGAAUUACUGGGCGUAAAGAGCUCGUAGGCGGUUUGUCACGUCGUCUGUGAAAUCCUAGGGCUUAACCCUGGACGUGCAGGCGAUACGGGCUGACUUGAGAACUACAGGGGAGACUGGAAUUUCUGGUGUAGCGGUGGAAUGCACAGAUAUCAGGAAGAACACCGAUGGCGAAGGCAGGUCUCUGGGUAGUAACUGACGCUGAGGAGCGAAAGCAUGGGUAGCGAACAGG